rnacentral:rRNA from 1 species
UACGUAGGGUGCGAGCGUUGUCCGGAAUUAUUGGGCGUAAAGAGCUCGUAGGCGGCCUGUCGCGUCGGUCGUGAAAACUUGGGGCUUAACCCUGAGCUUGCGGUCGAUACGGGCAUGACUGGAGUUCGGUAGGGGAGACUGGAAUUCCUGGUGUAGCGGUGAAAUGCGCAGAUAUCAGGAGGAACACCGGUGGCGAAGGCGGGUCUCUGGGCCGAUACUGACGCUGAGGAGCGAAAGCGUGGGGAGCGAACAGG